UUCGGCGAGGCACUCGGAUCGGCAGCAGUGGGGGAAUUAAAACCUUAGCGCGUGGCAGUGUGUAGCAGACCUCGCGCAAACCAACAGCGCUGCUGAGGGGAGAAGGAACAGCAUCUCACAAAUCUUGUGGAAGUCGUAGCUUUCAUUUUGUUUCUCGCUCAGUGAUAGACAUGAUGGGGAAAAGUGGGCUUCUUUUGGUUGGAUUUGUGUUGUGCGUGGUGUAUUUCAGUGGGGCAGUUUCAGCUUUCAGGACUUGCGCCGAGGCCCGCUAUUGCUGCCCGGGCCGAAAUAAUACAUGCUUUGCUCAUGGACCCCGAAUGGAUAAUGACAAUAAGCAAGAAAGAUGUUUUUGUGACCAGGAAUGUGUCACUAUGGGCGACUGCUGCAUCGACUACACACAGACGUGCUCAGGUAAAGACUGUUUGGUAGACGAGUGGGGGUCGUGGAGUAAUGCUUUGCUGUCCAGUCGGUAGAGUUCAGAGGCAAAGAACUUGGGGAAGUUGGAAAUAUUUUACCAGCAGAGUUUGGAAGAUGGAGAACAAGCAGUCAAUACAGCAUGAGACACGAUAUAAGAAGGAACCUUAUAGAAAACCGCCUGAGCAAUGAAGUCCCAACUAGAUUAGCAUACUGCGCCAGAUUCACCAUCGUUUCCACGAGCUUGUACUGCAACACCACCGAGUUCUCCAAAAAGUGGGCCAAUGAACUGCAGUUGAGGAAGACAGUGUGUGUACAGUGUGACCCAUUCGCGAUGGACAAGGAUCUGGGAACACGCUGCAAGGGGCAUGGCGUCUACAAGGAGGUGACCCGCUGGAACGCUGUUGACGUCCCGUACUGUACCGGCUUGUGGAGACAGGAGACCGAACCUACAGACUGUGUGUGUGAUGUGGAUCUGAAAGACAGCUUCAUCUUAAUCUGAGCGGGUGGACAGACAAAUUAUUAUAAGAACAGUGUAUAUGAUUGUAUUAGCGUAUAGUUCACAUAAUGGUACAUCUCUAUGUUUUGUAGGUUUGAUUGGUUAAUUAGUCCUUUAAUUGCAAAAUACAGUGUCUUUUUAACCAAACCUGGUCUUGCAAUUUUGGUUAAGGACCACCAGCAAAAGAGAAAUUUCAUCUUUAUUAGGAAAAGAUAUGAAAUGUAGAGUACUUUUGACUUGUACUUUGAGAAAAGCAUUGGACCGAGUGAUUCAUUGUACAUCCUGUUCAGUUUUUGCACGAUCAUGGGUUUUUUUUCUUUAAAUUCUGGAAGGUUGUAAAAAUUGAGAUAGUGCUAAAUUGGAUGUAGGAACAUGUGACCAUAGAAAUGAUAAACUUUUUAAAUGAGGAGAUCACUUAUGUUUGGCCAGUACCAUAUUUAGAUCUAUAGUAAAAAUUUAGCACAUAUAUAUAUAUUCAAAUAAAGAUACUCAUACAAAACAUAUGACCCAAAUCCUCCAGAUCCUUCUAAGAUUUCAAUGCAUUUUUAUCCAUCUGUAUAGCUGUGUAAUCAUUAAUGUGAAUAAUACUCAAAAGUCCUGUGAAUAACAUUUGAAUAUGAAUCAUAACCAACAAAUACCUCGCUACAAUAACACACAAAGCAUCAUGGGUAAUGGAACUCAUCAUCCAAUCAACGAAGAUCUUGAGAAAAACAAACGGUUUAUUAUUUGUAAAUAAAAUUAGAAAAGUCUUGUACAAAUUUAGUAGAUUUAUUAAAUCAAGCUGAUUGAAAUGGUGCUUCCAGAUUAUUGAACAAAAUUAUAUAACCAGAAACUGCUUCGAAUGUUUAUGAAUUGGCCUUUUUUAUCCAAAAUAUGAUGCUUUACAUACACACUGCAAGAUAUCCUUUACUAUAAGCCGGCGGUAUUUGGUACACCAUGCCACCCAAGAGGAGCAUGGCUGACCAAAAGGCCGGGGCUUGCGAAUAAAACAAGGAUUGUCUGAUUGUGGCCCUUAAGUAUAGCUUAUGUGUGGCCGUGGUAUGUCCUGUCUGCUAGCUUUACUUGUGUGCAUCUCUUUGCAAGGAAUCCAUUAUGUGUAUUGAAGAUUUGUUGUAGAAUUUCUGUAGACUUGUUAUCCAUUUCAUUCUGAUGGAGGUAAUUAUUCUAUCAUUGCAUGUACACACAUUUUUACAUAAAACUAUCUGUUAACCUUGAUAUUUAGCUUUUGUACUAGAUUUUUCACUUUUGCUAUAAUCUUUUCCCCUGUAAUGUUCAGUUUUUUGGAUGUUGUGAUAGCCUAAACACAAAAGAAUUAUGAGAUUCACAUCAAACUUUAAUUUUCUGUUGGAAGGAAAAUUGUCAAUGCAUGCAUCUCAUUUUGUAAAUAUAAAUACUGAUUUUAGUGAAUUCUCAUUUUUAAUUCUAUGUAUUGAUUCAGAAAUAAAAAUAUAUUAGU
rnacentral:misc_RNA from 1 species